rnacentral:lncRNA from 1 species
GCCACCCCCUCCCCGCCCAUGCAUGCGUUCAUGAACAAAACUCCAGACUAACAGUAUGAAUGUUCUAUAGGGACCCCAAAACUCAAAAUGUGGUGCUCUCAGUAAAGAUCCUCCGGGGGAAGAAGAGGCGGAUGGGUUUCACUGCAAGUGGAAAUGAAUCGAAUCGAAACUGUUCUGCCUACUUAAGACUGGAGAUGAGCCCUGUGGGGCUAGAAGCCGAGACCGGCAGGUGACCGAGGGCCUGGAGGCAAGAGACGAAGGAGGAGGCACCCAGAGGCUGAGAAAGGUCUGUGCCGCCGGGGAGAAGACAGCCAGAGCCCGUGGCCACCUCUACAGCUGAGGUGGUUCUCUUUCCUGCUGAGUUGUGAAGAAGGUGCCUGCUUCCUCUUGCACCGUGAUUGUUAAGUUUCCUGAGGCCUCCCCAGCCAUGCAGAACUGUGAGUCAAUUAAACCUCUUUCCUUUAUAAAUUACCCAGUCUUGAGUAUUUCUUUAUAGAAGUAUGAAAAUGGGCUAAUACCCCACACGUUAUACCAAAGGGAGUGAGCCUGUUCAAACCUCGCUUGGGUUUGCAUGUCAUUAUCUCCUACGAUGGGAACUGUUGCAAAAAAAA